rnacentral:misc_RNA from 1 species
GUUGUGGUAGCUGUGGAUUGAGCAGCAGCUUCAGGACUAACAUAUGCAGAAAAGUUGGAAACUGGCGAGCAAUGAAGCGUGACCAUGUCACUGUAAUGUUGUUCCGUUAGCUUUUUGCCUUGCUUAGCCUCUUGUAAUAAAUACUCCUGCGAGCUAAGCAAAUAUGCAGCUAAAGGGGCAUAUCCAUCCCAAGAAGGUGGAUUAAGUGAUGCUGGAACCCCAUUGCUUACACUUGUCUUCGGAGUUGCUUGAAAUCCAUUACCAGGGCCAGGUGCUACCUCCCAGACGACAACAGUUGAUGGAUUGACAAUGGGAACUCCAGCAACAUGCAUUGCUCCAGAGUCUGUUAUGAUAGCAUCAGCAGCCAUGAUGCCACUAGGCCCCGCUCCCAAUAGCCCUUUGCUUGUGCAAAACCACUUUGAUGGUGCACCAUUCUGAUUAGGUGGCCAUUGAGACCAGUGGAGCUGAACAGACCCUGAUGAGAAGACAGAGCAUACACACAGAAAAUUUGGCCAUCCAGCUGGAGAUUGUGGUUGCUGCGAAAGGAAUUUCUCCUCAAAUGUUGACUUAGCGGAACCGCCCGUUCUUGUUGAAAGCCACCUAUACGGAGAAACUCCUGAUAACCACUUUGUAACAACUGCAAUAUCUUGAUGCCAUUCGUAAUCUCGCUGCCAACAACUAGCAUCUCGUACCAGAUUAGCUGAACCCUGUGUACCAAGCAUACAUUUUAAGUAAGAAUAGUUCUUUUUAAAAAAAAAAGUGUGGUGUCAGGACCAGGAACUGGGUAACUCUAUCCACAGGGUACCUCCUACCUCUCACCAGCUAUCCACCAAGGCUUGGACAGAUAGGAAGAAAU